UACGAAGGGGGCCAGCGUUGUUCGGAAUCACUGGGCGUAAAGCGCACGUAGGCGGAUUGUUAAGUCGGGGGUGAAAUCCUGAGGCUCAACCUCAGAACUGCCUUCGAUACUGGCAAUCUCGAGUCCGGAAGAGGUUGGUGGAACAGCUAGUGUAGAGGUGAAAUUCGUAGAUAUUAGCUAGAACACCAGUGGCGAAGGCGGCCAACUGGUCCGGGUACUGACGCUGAGGUGCGAAAGCGUGGGGGAGCGAACAGG
rnacentral:rRNA from 1 species